AACGCGAAGAACCUUACCCAGACUUGACAUAUAGUAGACCGCGCAAGAGAUUGCGCUUUCCUUCGGGACUGCUAUACGGGUGCUGCAUGGCUGUCGUCAGCUCGUGCCGUGAGGUGUUGGGUUAAGUCCCGCAACGAGCGCAACCCUUAUCACUAGUUGCCAACAUUUUAGGUGGGGACUCUAGUGAGACUGCCUGGGUUAACCAGGAGGAAGGUGAGGAUGAGGUCAAGUCCGCAUGGCCCUUAUGUCUGGGGCUACACACGUGCUACAAUGGUCGGUACAGAGGGCAGCUAAAUCGCAAGAUUAUGCAAAUCCCUAAAGCCGAUCCCAGUUCGGAUUGUAGUCUGCAACUCGACUACAUGAAGUUGGAAUUGCUAGUAAUGGCGUGUCAGCAUAGCGCCGUGAAUACGUUCCCGGGUCUUGUACACACCG
rnacentral:rRNA from 1 species